UACUGUUCUCUUAAAUCUCUUAAAUGUUCCCCUCAUUCUGUUAAAUUUAUACACAAAAUUCUGCCUUUCUCUGCCUUUUUCACUUCAUCUUCAUGCUGUACUCCCUCACUCACACAUUCUUUUAUGCUCUGUUGUAAGGCAGAAACUGAGAGUUUGCAUGAUGGCAUUUUCUCAGACGUUGAAUCUGAUGUGUACAGAUGAACUCAGGAGCCUACUAGAGUUGCCAAGGAACUUGUGCUUGAACUGAAGACCAGAAACGCAAAGAAAAUCAGUCAAACCAGUCCUAAAGAAAUAAGUUAUGAACAUGGACUUCUUGUGCCCCAAAAGAAAAGACAGAAAGCUCCUAAAAUGAGCAAAUAAGCUGUGCAUCAUCUCUGGUGUUUGGGAAGGAAAUGACUGAAUAUGAUGAAGCCAAUUGAUGAAGAUAUCAAUUGAAUGGCCACCGAGUGCAUCACUGCUACCUGAACCCAUCAGUUAUCUUCUGUGAAGACUGCAUUCACAAACCGCUCUACUGCGACAGCUCAGAUGUUACGGCCUGCAAAGUAAACAUCACAGCUAAACAACGAGAGCUAGUUGUGGUGGGAUUCUUUUGGCCAAUAUCCCCAACAAGAAUCAAUGACAUCUAGACCAGGUGGAGUGUGAGGAGGACCGUCAGAGACUCCAGCCAGCCGAGCCAUGGAUUGCUCUCACUGUUACCAUCAGGCAUGCGUUAUCACAGAACCUACACCAGCAGACAGUGAGACAAGUUCCUUUCACAGGCAAUCAGACUGAACUGAACUCAUACCAGUAAAACCAUACACACCCCACCAACCUCAUAUGCCCUGCACUCUUAUCAGUUAUGCUGACUGGACUCAAUAUUAUUAUGCACCCUGACAUUCUGUUUGCACUAAUUCAUACCGUGCUUUACUGCAGAGAUGUAUGUGUACUGUGAUUAUUAUUGUUUUCAAUUCAUGCUCUCUGUAUAGCAUAAUUUUUAACAUAUAUUGUUCUCUACCUGAAUUGAGUCCCUUAUAUAUGUGUGUUGCAUAUAUAUAUAUUCAGAAUUUGUAUUUCAUAUAUAUUCAUGAAUUAAUUCAUUUGUCAUCCAUACUGUCACGCUGCAGUCUGCACCCAAGACUUUCAUCACCUGUAUACUUGUGUUCAUUGUAUUGUGACAAUAAAGAUAUUUGAUUUAAAUUA